rnacentral:rRNA from 1 species
UACGUAGGCAGCAAGCGUUGUUCGGAGUUACUGGGCGUAAAGAGCGCGUAGGCGGUGCCCUAAGUCUGUUGUGAAAUCUCCCGGCUUAACUGGGAGGGUGCGGUGGAAACUGGGGUGCUUGAGUGUGGGAGAGGUAAGCGGAAUUCCUGGUGUAGCGGUGAAAUGCGUAGAUAUCAGGAGGAACACCGGUGGUGUAGACGGCUUACUGGACAACGACUGACACUGAGGCACGAAAGCGUGGGUAGCAAACAGG